rnacentral:rRNA from 1 species
GAGGAAUCUUGGACAAUGGGGGCAACCCUGAUCCAGCCAUGCCGCGUGAACGAUGAAGGCCUUAGGGUUGUAAAGUUCUUUCAACGGUGAAGAUAAUGACGGUAGCCGUAGAAGAAACCCCGGCUAACUCCGUGCCAGCAGCCGCGGUAAUACGGAGGGGGUUAGCGUUGUUCGGAAUUACUGGGCGUAAAGCGCACGUAGGCGGACUAUUAAGUCAGGGGUGAAAUCCCGGGGCUCAACCCCGGAACUGCCUUUGAUACUGGUAGUCUAGAGUUCGAGAGAGGUGAGUGGAAUUCCGAGUGUAGAGGUGAAAUUCGUAGAUAUUCGGAGGAACACCAGUGGCGAAGGCGGCUCACUGGCUCGAUACUGACGCUGAGGUGCGAAAGCGUGGGGAGCAAAC